rnacentral:rRNA from 1 species
CCCUUAGAUGUUCUGGGCCGCACGCGUGCCACACUGAGUAAUUCAAUGGGUAAGGGAACGCUAGAGCAUUACCUAAUCUUGAAAUUUGCUCGUGAUGGGGAUCGACGGCUGCAAUUUUCCGUCGUGAACGAGGAAUACCUUGUAGGCGCAUGUCAUCAUCAUGCGCCGAAUACGUCCCUGCCCUUUGUACACACCGCCCGUCGCUCCUACCGAUUGAGUGAUCCGGUGAGGCUCUGGGACCUGGACGGAAAGAGCGUUUCGCUUGUUCUGUUUGGGAAACUUGGUCGAACCUUAUCAUUUAGAGGAAGGAGAAGUCGUAACA